rnacentral:rRNA from 1 species
GGAUUAGAUACCCUGGUAGUCCACGCCGUAAACGAUGAGAACUAGGUGUUUGGUGACGUAGUCACUGAGUACCGCAGCUAACGCGUUAAGUUCUCCGCCUGGGGAGUACGGCCGCAAGGUUGAAACUCAAAGGAAUUGACGGGGGCCCGCACAAGCGGUGGAGCAUGUGGUUUAAUUCGAUGCAACGCGAAAAACCUUACCUACUCUUGACAUCCCUGGAAUCCCAACGCAGGUUGGGAGUGCCUUCGGGAACCAGGUGACAGGUGCUGCAUGGCUGUCGUCAGCUCGUGCCG